AUGGUUGACGGUCAUGUGAAAACAAGAGAGGGAAUGAAAAGUUAAGAUGUUUUUCAUAGUUUUUCAAAUAACUCUAUUGAGAUUUGACUUUUUAGCCUUGUUUUCUCUUUCUCAUACGUUUUAACAUAAAAUGAAAACUAACAGACAACUCACAAAAGUAAAAAAGAGAGCCUGAGAAGAUCAUUGCUGCCAUUUAUCCAAAGUGAUUUUAAAAAAGAGCAGAGAUAAAGUAGAAAAACACUCGGAGAGCGCAGACCUCCGCCAAACCAGCAGGAGCAGCACUACGACGACGACGAC